rnacentral:rRNA from 2 species
UGGGGAAUAUUGCACAAUGGGCGAAAGCCUGAUGCAGCAACGCCGCGUGAGCGAUGAAGGCCUUCGGGUCGUAAAGCUCUGUCCUCAAGGAAGAUAAUGACGGUACUUGAGGAGGAAGCCCCGGCUAACUACGUGCCAGCAGCCGCGGUAAUACGUAGGGGGCAAGCGUUAUCCGGAAUUAUUGGGCGUAAAGAGUGCGUAGGUGGUUUCGUAAGCGCGAGGUGAAAGGCUAUGGCUCAACCAUAGUAAGCCUUGCGAACUGUGAGACUUGAGUGCAGGAGAGGAAAGUGGAAUUCCUAGUGUAGCGGUGAAAUGCGUAGAUAUUAGGAGGAACACCAGUGGCGAAGGCGACUUUCUGGACUGUUACUGACACUGAGGCACGAAAGCGUGGGGAGCAAACAGG